rnacentral:tRNA from 1 species
GUAGGUAUAGUUUAAGAAAAAUAUUAGAUUGUGAUUCUAAAGACAGGGGUUAAAGUCCCCUUACCCACC